GAACAGUCACUGAAGGCAUUUAAGUAAGUUGCAUGAGAAAAUAACAGAUUCCCAUGGCUCUUAAUCUUGCUACAUUGCCAUGAUGGUUAAUAUUGAGUAUCAACUUGAUGGAAUUGAAGGAUGCAAAGUGUUGUUCCUGGGUGUGCCUGUGAGAUUGUUGCCAAAGGAGAUUAACAUUUGACUCGGUGGAUUGGGAAAGGCAGACCCACCCUCAAUCUUGAGUGGGCAUAAUCUAAUUGGCUGCUAGUGUGGCCAGAAUAAAAGUAGCAGAAGAAUGUGAAAAGACUAGACUGGCUUAGUCUUCCAGCCUACAUCUUUCUCCCGUGCUGGGUGCUUCCUGCCCUCAAACAUUGGACUCCAAGUUCUUCAGUUUGGGGAAUUGAACUAGCUUCCUUCCUCCUCAGCUUGCAGACAGCCUACUGUGGGACCUCACCUCAUGAUCAUGUGCUCAUGGCCUGCUGAAGACUGAUGUUGGAACAGAAGAGCUGAGAAACACACCUGCCCCUACCUCAAGCCCUGCACCAAGUAAAAGUCAGCAGCAAUAUACCCUGGGGAAAGGGCUAGAGUGUGGCUGGAGAUCUUGCUGAAAGCUGGAGGUGGAGGAGGAAUACAAAGAUAAGAUUUUAGGACUCCAGGCUUCACAGUAAGUAAAAGUAACAGUCAUCUACCACUGGAGAAUCUUGAAGUCUGGUAGACUGAAAUUAACUAGAGCAACAUACAACCAAACACAAGACAGCUACUGGAAUGAUUGAACCAAGUGUACCAAUGACCUGAAAGAAGCAUGCCCAUUUCCAGGAAUAAAUCCUUUUUAUAUCAGUCUGUCUGUACACCAUGUCUACCAUUCAACAAAAACUUAGGAGAGACAAAAUAAAACAAGAAAAAAAAAACCUCAUUGUCCAGAGGCAAAAGUAAUCCAGAGGCAAAACAGAUUGAGAAAUCAUCUAGUGGCUGGAAUUAUUACACAGUAAUUUAAAACUAACUAUAAUUUGUUUAACGGCAUAGUAGAUGAGAUAAAUGGGAUGCAUGAACAGAUAAGGACUUUCAGAGAGAUUACAACUUUACGAAGGAGUCAAAUGGAAAUGCUAGAAAUGAAAAAUACCAUAUCAGAAAUAAGUAAUUUCAUCAAUUAGCCUACAAGCAGACUGGAUACAGCAAAAGAAAACCAAUCAGUGAUCUUGAAGACAGGUAAACAGGAAUUAUGGCAAUGGUAACGCAAAGAAAAAACGAUGACUCCUUCUACAUCUGUUGUUCAAGGUUCAGACUCAAUAUGCAACUAAUUUAUGAAGCCCGUUUAGACCACAACAACCCUGAUGCAAGAUGUUCUCCACUAUGUUAAGAUGCAGCAUGAAGCCCUUACCAGAAGCUAAGAGUAUUCCGUUAGAGCAACACAAAACAGACUAAGACAACUUGUUCAUUACUGAUGUACAGAUUUCACUGACCAGCAACACUCCAGUGAAACUGCAGUCAAAAUUUAUGGAGUCUGCAGUAAAUAUGAAGCUAAAGUAACAGCACUCUCCAGGAAAAGCUGCCUGCUAGAUAACAUGAAGACACGCCAGCAGCCUCAUGGGGGUGGAGGGAAGAGAGGCCUCAUGGUGAGGGACUGAGGCCUCCUACUAAAAGCCAGCACUAACUUGUCAGGCAUGAAAGUGAGCCACCUGGAAGCACAUCUUCAGCCCCUGUGGACCCUUUAGAUGACUGCAGGCCCUGCUGACAUCUUGACUGAAACCUCAUGAGACAGCUAGAACCAGAAUCGCCCAGAGAGAAGAACAUCAAAGGUGCGGGUUUAGGGCCCAGAAAGCCACUGGCCCCUUAAUAUCCAGAAAAGGACAAAAACUCACGGGAGUCAAGCACUGUUUGCCUGGAAGAAGAAAGAUAAAGACACAGACAAGCCCUGCUCCCCCACCAGCCAAAACUACUAUUCUACCUGUUUCCUGAUUCUGACCCACGUAUAUUCACUUGUUUCAUCAUUUUCUCAUUCAAAAAUAUAUUCAUUCAAUUAAUAAUGAUUUACUGAGUGUGUAUUAUGUAGCCAGUGCUUGCAUGGAACUCAGAUUACAGCUGGAAAUGAAACAGAUCUGGUCUUACACCCUCUGUACAUCUUCUUCCUCCUGUUACCACUCUAUCCUGUCUUCAACCUCAACUUCACUACUAAUUUCAUACUUAA
rnacentral:lncRNA from 1 species